CCCUUCCUCUCCCUCUCGGCCACAUUCUCUCUCUCUCCCCGAUCUCUCACUCUCUCUUCUCCUUCACUCUGCCACCACCGGAGACCCCAGCUCCGGCCACCAUCUCACCACACCGCCUCCACCCUUCGAACCAGAACCCAAUUCCGACCCAAACCUGACAAAAAUCACGGCCAUGCACCAUCGUCCUCCUUCACACGCGACAACCCAAGACUGCGCGUCACUGUUCCUCGACCCUCAUCGAUGUUCCGGCGAUUUCCACGCCCUUCUGCCGCCGUCGUUCUACUCAACAAGCAAAGCGGAGAAAAACCCAGAGACUCCUCUUCGCCGCCGACGCCUGACGAUGCCGUUCGAACCUCAUCGGAGCUCUCGGCUCUGCAUGUCUUCAUUCUCCGGUCUCCAACUCGAAUCGAGCUUUUACACUUCCCUAAACGAAGUUGGAGCUACACUAUCCUUCGAGACCCAAGCUCCCGACCUCUUCACGUGCCGCCGCUGGCGCGUCAACCACCGUAGCUCCGCCGCUCACGGUCGCUGGAUCG
rnacentral:lncRNA from 1 species